ensembl:snRNA Gm24927 predicted gene, 24927
GUGCUCACUUUGGGAGCACAUAAACUAAAAUUGGAACGAUACAGAGAAGAUUAGCAUGGCCCCUGUGCACGGAUGACACACAAAUUGGUGAAGUGUUCCAUAUUUAA